CCUGAAACCGCAUGCCUACAAGCAGUGGAAGGGCCGCAAGGCCUGACCUCGUGCCUAUUGAAUAAUGAGCUGGCUAGUUAAUCUCAGUCGCAAGGUUAAGCGUAAGCGAGCCGCAGCGAAAGCGAGUCUGAACAGGGCGUUCAGUGGCUGGGAUUAGACGCGAAGCGGGAUGAUCUACCCUUGGCCAGGAUGAAAUUCGUGUAACAGCGAAUGGAGGUCCGAACCAGUGUUGGUUGAAAACGGCUUGGAUGAGCUGAGGGUAGGGGUGAAAGGCUAAUCAAAUUCCGUGAUAGCUCGUUCUCUCCGAAAUAGCUUUAGGGCUAGCCUCGUAUGGACCGUCGUGGUGGUAGAUAACUGAAUGGACUAGGGGCCUUUCCGGGUUACCGAAUCCAAUCAAAAUACGAAUGCCAUGAACGAAUAUACGGGAGUCAGACUGCGAGGGCUAAGCUUCGUAGUCGAAAGGGAAAGAGCCCAGACCGCCGACUAAGGUCCCCAAAUACAUGCUAAGUGGUAAAGGAAGUCGGGAAGCAGAGACAGCCAGGAGGUUGGCUUAGAAGCAGCCAUCCUUUAAAGAAAGCGUAAUAGCUCACUGGUCGAGCAGCCCGGUGCCGACAAUCCAACGGGGCUCAAGCAUGUUACCGAAGUCGCGGGUUUACAGUAAUGUAAGCGGUAGGAGAGCAUUCCAACGGCGUAGAAGGUGACGCGUAAGCGUUGCUGGAGCUUCUGGAAGAGACUCUGCCAGCAUAAGUAGCGACAAUGGGGGCGAGAACCCCCCACGCCGUAAGUCUAAGGUUUCCUGAGAAAGGUUAAUCCGCUCAGGGUUAGUCGGAGCCUAAGGUGAGGCCGAAAGGCGUAGCUGAUGGACAACUGGUUAAAAUUCCAGUACUUCUUUUGUUUUCGAUGCGGGGACGCUGCACGAAAUUCCCGGUGCGAAAUGGUUCCAAUCCGGGAGCUAGUGAGGUUGGGGAAGGCAAAUCCACCCAGCCGUCAGCCUGGAAAAUCCGCUAAGGUUAGGGCAGAAGAAUCCGUACCACAAACCGACACAGGUGGACAAGAUGAGUAUUCUCAGGCGCUCGGGUGAUGGUCUGCGAAGGAACUAGGCAAAUUAGCUCCGUAACUUCGGGAGAAGGAGUGCCCACCUCAGACGUGGGUCGCAGUGAAUAGCGUCAGGCGACUGUUUAACAAAAACACAGGUCUCUGCUAAGUCAAAAAAACGACGUAUAGGGGCUGACGCCUGCCCGGUGCCGGAAGGUUAAAAGGAGGGGUUAGUCGCAAGGCGAAGCUCUGAAUUGAAGCCCCGGUGAACGGCGGCCGUAACAAUAACGGUCCUAAGGUAGCAAAUUCCUUGUCGGGUAAGUUCCGACCUGCACGAAUGGCGUAACGAUCUGACGACUGUCGGCGCAGGCCGCCCGGCGAACUUGUGGUUCCGGUGAAGACGCCGGAUGCCCGCCACUAGACGAAAAGACCCCGUGCACCUUUACUAUACUUUAACAAUGAAUUAUGGGAUGGACUGCGUAGGAUAGGUGGGAGGCUUUGAACCCGGAUUCUUGGAUUCGGGGGAGCCAAUGGUGAAAUACCACCCUGUUUAUUCUGUGAUUCUAAGC
rnacentral:rRNA from 1 species